UAAAAAUUUCUUUCGCCUCUCGAUCUUUGUUGCUCCGAUACUGGGUGCUUAAUUCCUUCGUCUAUCCUCGAUUUCUUCGUUUGAUCUCCAUGUUGGCUGCUUAAUUUUGAUUCUAUUGGAUCUCUGUCCUGCGUAGGCGACUAUGAUAUGCAUUGACAACUCGGAGUGGAUGCAAAACGGAGAUUACUCUCCGUGUAGGUUACAGGCUCAGACGGAAGCUGUUAAUCUUCUUUGUGGGGCUAAAACCCAGGCCUUGAUGUUGGAGGUGAGAUCAACUUAACGGCGGCCAUCCAGAUUGCUCAGCUUGCUCUUAAGCAUCGCCAAAACAAGAAUCAACGCCAACUAGUGGUGGUGGCGUUGGGGGUGGCCGUGGUGUUCGACUUGGUGGUGGUGCCUUCGCUGGUGGACGCAGUGAUGGCGGAGGCUAUGGUCGUGGUGGACGCGGCGGAGGGAGACUUCAACACUAGGGUAGAGGGGGACACGGAGGAAGGGGAAAUCACAAUGCUCAAAUGACAAUUGAUGCCUUACUAGCACAAGAGUCAAGGAGAUUGAUGCCAGUUCUUCAUCCUCAGCGAGAAAACGGUGCCAUGUGGUAUGUAUAUACAUUUCCAACUCUUGUGUUUUUAUGUUUAUUGGAUGUUUCAUUAUAUGUGAUUUGGUUUUUCUAUCUAUAGUAGUAGCCUAUCUCUCUGUGUUGUUUAGGUUAUUCAUGUUGUAAACGUGAAUUGUUGUACAUUGACUUGUUUGUGUAAUGUAAUUUGAACAUUGGUCUUUACAGUUGAUGUUACUUAAUCGGUUAUUCUCUCAAAGCAGGUUGUCUUUGCACCGAGAAUGUCAUGUCCUAUGUUCGGUCUUGACAAUCCUCCACGGCGAGCAAUUCCCACCUUUGUUUACUCAAUCUACUUCUUAACUACUCUUUUCUGUUCUUUCCAGCUUUAAAACUCUGUUUUUUCCCAGAAUUUUCAUAACUAUGCUUUAAUCGGAGCUUUUGUAUUUUGUAAUCACAAUGACCUUGUUGUGCAAUGAUAUUUGCAGUUUAUUUAUGA